AUGCAGCCAAUUAAGCCGACCGUGCGGACCAGUGUGCAAUGGCUGCAAACAUCAGCCUCCUCGGUAUUGUAUAUAGCCGGCUGCUUGUAUGAGUUGCCCUAAGGGACCUUGGAGACAGUC
rnacentral:snoRNA from 1 species